GAAACUGCGAAUGGCUCAUUAUAUCAGUUAUCGUUUAUUUGAUAGUACCUUACUACAUGGAUAACCGUGGUAAUUCUAGAGCUAAUACAUGCUAAAAACCCCGACUUCGGAAGGGGUGUAUUUAUUAGAUAAAAAACCAAUGCCCUCUGGGCUCCUUGGUGAUUCAUAAUAACUUCACGAAUCGCAUGGCCUUGCGCCGGCGAUGGUUCAUUCAAAUUUCUGCCCUAUCAACUUUCGAUGGUAGGAUAGUGGCCUACCAUGGUUUCCACGGGUAACGGGGAAUUAGGGUUCUAUUCCGGAGAGGGAGCCUGAGAAACGGCUACCACAUCCAAGGAAGGCAGCAGGCGCGCAAAUUACCCAAUCCCGACACGGGGAGGUAGUGACAAUAAAUACUGAUGCAGGGCUCUUUUGGGUCUUGCAAUUGGAAUGAGUACAGUCUAAAUCCCUUAACGAGGAACAAUUGGAGGGCAAGUCUGGUGCCAGCAGCCGCGGUAAUUCCAGCUCCAAUAGCGUAUAUUAAAGUUGUUGCAGUUAAAAAGCUCGUAGUUGAACCUUGGGCCUGGCUGGUUGGUCCGCCUCACCGCGUGUACUGAUCCGGCCGGGCCUUUCCUCCUGGGGAAUCGCAUGCCCUUCACUGGGUGUGUCGGGGAACCAGGACUUUUACUUUGAAAAAAUUAGAGUGUUCAAAGCAGGCCUUUGCUCGAAUACAUUAGCAUGGAAUAAUAGAAUAGGACGUGUGGUUCUAUUUUGUUGGUUUCUAGGACCGCCGUAAUGAUUAAUAGGGAUAGUCGGGGGCAUCAGUAUUCAAUUGUCAGAGGUGAAAUUCUUGGAUUUAUUGAAGACUAACUACUGCGAAAGCAUUUGCCAAGGAUGUUUUCAUUAAUCAGUGAACGAAAGUUAGGGGAUCGAAGACGAUCAGAUACCGUCGUAGUCUUAACCAUAAACUAUGCCGACUAGGGAUCGGGCGAUGUUUUCUUUUGACUCGCUCGGCACCUUACGAGAAAUCAAAGUCUUUGGGUCUGG
rnacentral:rRNA from 1 species